rnacentral:ncRNA from 1 species
GUUGUUGCAACAGUAAUCCUGCUCAGUCAAGAGGAACCACAGGUUCAGAUCCCUGGUGCGUGCACUUGGCUGAGGAGCCACUGGCACAAGGCUACCAUCUGCGGGCUUAUGAUGGAACACCUCUAAGUCAGAAUCCCACCUAGAUGUAGUGAU